rnacentral:rRNA from 1 species
GGUGAACGCUGGCGGCGUGCUUAAGACAUGCAAGUCGAACGGCAGUCUUCGGACUGUAGUGGCGCACGGGUGAGUAACGCGUAACUGACCUACCCCAAAGUCGCGGAUAACGAUUCGAAAGAAUCGCUAAUACGUGAUGUGCUGUCAGAUUGUGUUCUGCCAGUAAAGAUUGAUAGCUUUGGGAUGGGGUUGCGUUCCAUCAGCUAGUUGGUGGGGUAAAGGCCCACCAAGGCGACGACGGAUAGCCGGCCUGAGAGGGUGGCCGGCCACAGGGGCACUGGGACACGGGUCCCACUCCUACGGGAGGCAGCAGUUAGGAAUCUUCCACAAUGGGCGAAAGCCUGAUGGAGCGACGCCGCGUGAGGGAUGAAGGUCUUCGGAUCGUAAACCUCUGAAUCAGGGACGAAAGACACUUCGGUGGGGUGACGGUACCUGAGUAAUAGCACCGGCUAACUCCGUGCCAGCCGCCGCCGUAACAC